UUAAAUUGGAAUUGCUAUACAAUGCAUAAGAAGAGCUUCUAUAAAUCACACCUGCACUGAAGUUGCUUUAUUUUAUGACUAAUGAUUUUACUUUUAACGCAGGAAAAGUCACUCAAACUGGAAAACGCUGAGCUGAAUAAAAAAAUUAGUAGAAGUCACAAGGCAUCCCACCUUGAUAUUGACAUCAUGGAAGAAGCCAGUGAUAUAUUGGAAACAUACGCUGCAACUCAACAAGAUCUGUCUCAAACUAACUUUAAUCUCACCCUUAAUCUCACCCUGUCUUGAAUUCGAGGGCAUUCUAUGGUCUCUGUGUUUCUGUAACUCGUUUAAGGCACUGUAAAGUUCGUGAAGUUGAACUCUAUUAACCAGAUCAUACGUAUCAAACUUAAUUCUUAGGAAAUCUAAAAAUUCCAUUGAAGCUACCAUGCUCAUUUUUUUUUAAUAGGAUUUAAUUAAAUUGAAAAUAAUUUAUAGAUUGAAAAUGGAUCUAAGUGCAUAUUUCAGAGCGUCUUAUGGUUGCCCUUAUAAUACCCUUACUUGUAAAGAGCAGACUUCAACAUUUAAAGAAGCCAAAGCAUAAGAAUAUUUUUUAAUUUUUUUUCUUAUAAAUUUGAAUCAUGUGCUAGAAUUUUCGGUGAUAAAAUUUUGGUAUUUUAAAAGUAA